UACGUAGGGUGCAAGCGUGUCCGGAAUUAUUGGGCGUAAAGAGCUCGUAGGCGGUUUGUUGCGUCGGCUGUGAAAUCCCGAGGCUCAACCUCGGGUCUGCAGUCGAUACGAGCAAACUAGAGUGUUGCAGGGGAGACUGGAAUUCCUGGUGUAGCGGUGAAAUGCGCAGAUAUCAGGAGGAACACCGAUGCGAAGGCAUGGUCUC
rnacentral:rRNA from 1 species